rnacentral:rRNA from 1 species
GUGGAGCGAAACCCAGAAAAGUACUCUCAGUUCAGAUUGUGGGCUGCAACCCGCCCACAUGAAGUUGGAGUUGCUAGUAAUCGCGGAUCAGCAUGUCGCGGUGAAUACGUUCCCGGGCCUUGUACACACCGCCCGUCACACCAUGGGAGCCGGUAAUACCCGAAGUCAGUAGCCUAACCGCAAGGGGGGCGCUGCCGAAGGUAGGAUUGGCGACUGGGGUGAAGUCGUAACAAGGUAUC